rnacentral:rRNA from 1 species
UACGAGGGGGGCGAGCGUUGUUCGGAUUUACUGGGCGUAAAGGGCGCGCAGGCGGUCCUGUUUGUCGAGUGUGAAAGCCCCGGGCUCAACCUGGGAACGGCGCUCGAAACGGCGGGACUAGAGAUCGGGAGAGGAGCGUGGAAUUCCCAGUGUAGAGGUGAAAUUCGUAGAUAUUGGGAAGAACACCGGUGGCGAAGGCGGCGCUCUGGACCGAGACUGACGCUGAGGCGCGAAAGCGUGGGGAGCAAACAGG